GAUGAACGCUAGCAGAACGCCUAACACAUGCAAGUCGAACGGACUUGUUGACUUCGGUUAACAAGUUAGUGGCAAACGGGCGAGUAACACGUGCUUAAUUUGCCCCGGAGAGGUGGACAACUACGGAGACGUAGCUAAACCACCAUACGCUCAUAGAAAUGAAAAUACUAUGAGGAAACAAUUUAUUGCUCUGGGAGAAGGGCGCGGCCUAUCAGGUAGUUGGUGAGGUAAAGGCUCACCAAGCCUACGACGGGUAGCCGGUCUGAGAGGAUGUCCGGCCGCAAUGGAACUGAGACACGGUCCAUACCCCUACGGGGGGCAGCAGUGGGGAAUCUUGGUCAAUGGACGAAAGUCUGAACCAGCGAUUCUGCGUGAAGGAUGAAGCCUCGCGGGGGUGUAAACUUCUUUUAUGGGGGAAGACGAAUGACGGUACCCCACGAAUAAGGGACGGCUAACUACGUG
rnacentral:rRNA from 1 species